GAUGAGCCAGAAUUGGCACCUUGUCUUUAAUAAGGUGCGAAAUGAUUUUAACUGAAGAGUUUGAUCAUGGCUCAGAUUGAACGCUGGCGGCAGGCUUAACACAUGCAAGUCGAGCGGGGGGAUGUACUUCGGUAUUGACCUUAGCGGCGGACGGGUGAGUAAUACUUAGGAAUC
rnacentral:rRNA from 1 species